rnacentral:lncRNA from 1 species
GCCUUUGUCAUUGACUUUCUUUGAGAUAGAAUCUGAAAGUUGAGAAAAAGUUGCUCAGAUGAAGGUUGUAGUUUUGAGGGGCAGGGGUAAGAAAAAGAAGGAUCAGCAAGCAGAGAGCAAGGCAAGUGUCAAUGCUUAGAGGCUAGAAGGAGAAAAUGAGAUAAUCCACAUUCAAGUUAAUACAUUUUAUAAUGCUUAACAUCAAAUGUCUUUUACAUGUAUUAUUUCAUUGUUAGAUUUACUUGAUUUUAAUACUUUAACCUUAUAUAGCACGUGCUUUAGUUCAUGAAAUCACAGCCCCAGUUCAUUGACUAACAAGAAAAUAUGGUAAUAUUUAACUCCAGUGUUUAGGUAAACAAGUUAACAUAUAUUCAUAUAUGUUUG